rnacentral:rRNA from 1 species
AGUUGAAGAGGGAAGAGCCCAAGAUUGAAAGCUGGCGCCUUCGGCGUCCGCAYUGUAWUCUCAAGAAGUGUUUUCCGCUUCGGACCAUGCCUAAGUCCCUUGGAAAAGGGCAUCAUAGAGGGUGAUAAUCCCGUACAUGGCAUGGAGCGCCCGAAGCUUUGUGAUACGCUUUCUAAGAGUCGAGUUGUUUGGGAAUGCAGCUCAAAAUGGGUGGUAAAUGCCAUCUAAGGCUAAAUAUUGGGGAGAGACCGAUAGCGAACAAGUACAGUGAUGGAAAGAUGAAAAGAACUUUGAAAAGAGAGUUAAACAGUACGUGAAAUUGCCAAAAGGGAAGGGUAGGAGGUCAGAGAUGCGUCGCAGGAUUCAGCCUUGCUUUUGCUUGGUGUUUUUCCUGCGUUGCAGGCCAACGUCGGUUUUGGGCACUGGAGAAGGGUAGGAGGAACGUGGCACCUCUCGGGGUGUGUUAUAGCCUCCUACUGGAUACAGCGACCGAGACCGAGGAACGCAGCGUACUCGUAAGAGCGGGCCUUUUGGCACCUUUACGCUUAGGGCGUUGGCAUAAUGGCCCUCUACCACCCGUCUUGAAACACGGACCYA